GUUUGACUUGUUUUGCUUCCUCCUUCCUCCAACACAGAUUGCUUAGUGGGGGCCUACAGGGUACAGAUUUAAUUUUAAAAGUGUAUUUAAAGAUAUAAUUUAAAUACAGUUGCCAGCACGGGUCUGGCUGAGUUGUCCUUCUUUCAAUGUAGAACCUCCAGGAAUGUCCGUUGUGCAUGACAUGAGGGCAGUUUCACUGACAGUUUAUGCAGGCAGGGGGAGUGUUUUAUUAAAUAUGCAAAUAUUAACCUACUCAAUCCUCAUAAAAACUCAGUGGUGAACUGACUGUUGGCCUGGCAGAUGAGAAGUUUUACUCCCCCACUCUCCAGUGAAACUGGUGAAAAGUAUUUUUAAAGGAAUUAAGAAUGGGUCAAUGAAAUAUACAGCUCCUUUCUGGAAUGUACCUGUUCUGCUACAACCAUGGAUAUCCUGACCUUUCUGUGCCUUUCAGGGACAAGGGUAAUAGAGGAGUUUCAGACUCCCUCUAAAACAAAACAACAACUGAACAAUAAACAACAGAAAAAGAACACAAAAAAAGACGGUGGUACUCUUUCCCCUUUCCUUGCUUUCUCCUGCUACCAAAACAAACAACAAAAACUACAUUGUCUCAUUGGAUGACGAAGCUAAAAUUUUGUAGCAAAUCUAUAGAAGAAAAGAAGUGGAAAUCUACUCAAGAGCUACUGUAAAACACUGUAUACAAAACAACCACUUUGAUUCACAUUAAAAAGUGUUAUCUGUUUCUUUGAAUUCAUAAGCUAGAUAUUAAUCCAUCUUUAGAAGAGAAGAAAGCAAAGAUCGUAGAUGACAAGUCUUGCUUUCUUGUAAGUAUCUUUGAAUCUGUAUGUUUGCCAUCACAAGUUCUCAGAUCAAUUAACUAUUGUUUACUUCCAAAAAAAAUCUGGCAUGGCUUAUGAAGAUGUAUAUAUAUAACAACAUCAGUAUGAAUGGGAUAAUACAACAAGACCAAGGGAAACUAAACUUGUGUAAUUAUUGAAGGUAGUAAGCAUCUAACAGACAUUUUGUCUGUUGUAGUUUAGAUUUAAAUUUGCCACUGAAAUCAGCCUCUUCUUGGGGAUUUCCUGCUUGUACUGAUGAGCCAAUACCCCUCCCUUUAUACUCAUUUUCACAGAAAUUCUUUGCUAAUUCAUUGCCUAGCUCGCUCUGUAACAUUCAUAACCAUCUUCAACACCACCUCCAGACUGACUGCAGUUUGACAUAAAAAAUGGCCUUAGAAAAGGCUCUGGCUGGGAAAUUUCAUUCCAGCAUGGCAGAAAUGUAAAGAGUCUGUUGUGAUAUAAGUACUAUUUAUCAGGCUCCUAUAAAUCUCCUUAGCAUAGUCAGCAGAGUCCAAGAUACAAACUUCCUAGCAAGUCUGCAGGUAAAUUCAGAUAAAGCAAUCACAACUUGGCCUGGGGAGUGGAUUCAUGCUCUCUAGAAUAAGAGUUGCAUGGUGUGCAAAAAGAUUCUGCAAAAAGAGUCAAAA
rnacentral:lncRNA from 1 species